GUUGUUCCCAAGGACGUAAGCUUGAGUAUUGCCUUGUUCGCCAGGAGUGGUAGCUGGGAGGCAAGAGGAAACCCCCAACUGCGCUAUGUCUGAAUGAACAUUACGGGAGGAUUUUCCUGUGAUUAAAUGCUCCGACGGUCUGAGACAGAAUUAUCAGAAAGGCCCAGGUGAGGAGGACCUUUAGGGUAGCCUCUCCCAGGAGGUGAUGUUUGUGCAGAAGCGUGAAUGAUGUAUGGCAAGAGAUCGAGGUCAGAAGGAGUUCGAGGGGAGCCCAAGGCAUGGGAUGCACAGCAAGGGUCCUGUCUGAGACUUCUUACACCUGUGCUGCGUUCUGAUCACCACCAUCAUCACCACCACCGAGCACCGACUCUGUGCUGGGCCCUGGGCUAACGCUUUCAUUUCCAGAUGACCCUGUGCGCAGGAUAGAAUUUCCAGAAGUCAAGUAAGUUACCCAGGCAUCCUCAGCUGGUCAGUGAAGACGCCAAGAUUCGAAGGCCACCUCUGGACUCUGACUCUGGAGGUCGCACCGUCAAACCACAACUGCACCACAUCUUUACAACUUCAGCUAAGCUGGGUCUGCAACAGCCUGCUCCCGGACUAGACAGCCCAGCCCACUCCACUUCCUAACUCAGGCUCCUAGACCCUGAACCUGAGGGCCUGUCAUGAUGCCAGAGGUCUCCAGUCCCCUGGGUCCCUCCCAUCAGCCAGCUUUGCUCUAUCCUGGCCCCUCCCUGCCUCUUCUGACUGGGGCAGUGGCUUGGGAAAACCCAGAGCAUCCAGGAUCUCCAGUGGGAACGGCCCCCAUCCUGCCCGGGCUCAAUAGCCCCGCCCUGCUCCCUCCCUCUCCCUCCAAGCCCUUCUGUACUAAGACUGUGUGACCUUGCAGCCAUCCCGUCUGGCCUGCUAUCAGCUCCUUCCACAAGAGGGUUUUUUUUUUUUUUUUUUUUUGAUGUCAUUAGAACUCUGUCUCCUCAAUUCUCCCUUGUCUGCAUUUUCCUUUCUAGUCUGCUUGGAUGACAUUAUUUCUAUCAUCCUCUUGCUCACUGGGCAAGAGGAGAAGGGGAUGACAGAGGAGAUGGUUGGAUGGCAUCACGGACUCAAUCGCCAUGAGUCUGAGCAAACUCCAGGAGACAGUGAAGGACGGAGGAACCUGGCGUGCUGCAGUCCAUGGGGUCGCAGAGAAUCAGACAUGACUGAGCGACUGCACAACAACUUUCUCACUGUAAAUUCUCUUACCACUUUGCCCUUUUGCUGCUCCUGCUGGGCCAAACCCCAGCCCCAGAUGGCUGUGGGGCAGAAUCGCUCCAACAAAGGGUCCGGUGUUUCCCUGUGGUGCGUUUCCUUCCCCCUCUCCCGCUUGUGCUCAAAAUCCCCUUCCAUCCCUCACUCGCAAGGCUGUUUUCCAUUUCCCCAGAGAUGGAGGGAAGAGAGACCGCAGCGACCAAAGGAGGACCAUGGGGUGGGCGGGGUUGAAGGGGAGGAAAGAGACUGCAGUGCUCACUGGUGCUCAGCAGUACUCCAUCGUGAACCUCCCUUGCCCUCACAAGGCCUUGGCUGACCUGUAGACACCCUCUGCUGGCCCACUGAGGCAGGGAGCUUGGCUGCCCUACAGUGCUGGACUCAGGAGAACAGACCACGAAGAUCAGGAGUCAGCGUUGGGCACGUAGAAGGCUAGGUCCCUGAAGACAUCCAGGAGGAGAUGAGAAGGCCAGUGGAUAGACUGAUCUGGAAUCUGGGAGAAUGAUCUUGGUAAACGACUUAACUUGAGAACAAAGUCUAGGUUAUGGGAUCAAAUGUGACCACUCAGGAAAUAUGUAUGAAGGAGAAGAGAGGCCGGAAAUGGAGCUUUGAGAAAUACCACACCUACAGGAUAGGGGUGCUGGUGGUAAAGAAUCUGUCUGCUAAUGAAGGAGACACAGGAGACGCACGAGUUGAGGGUUUGAUCCCUGGGUCGGGAAGAUCCCCUGGAGGAGGAAAUGGCAACCACUCCAGUAUUCUUGCCUGGGAAAUUCCAUGGACAGAGGAGCCUGGCAGUCUGCAGUCCAUGGGGUUGCAAAGAGUUGCACACGACUGAGCACACUCACACUCACACACACACACACAUACAGGAUAGUCAUUGGAAGAAGAGCUUUUCUGAGUUUUCCUGUCUGUAAAGUGGAUAUGAUGAUGCAAGUUGCUGUAAAGAUAUAAUAAACACUUAAUAUGUCACUUAAUAUAUAACACUUAA
ensembl:lncRNA